rnacentral:rRNA from 1 species
AACCAGCACCUCGAGUGGUCAGGAGGUUUAUUGGGCCUAAAGCAUCCGUAGCCGGUUGCAUAAGUUUUCGGUUAAAUCUAUGCGCUCAACGUAUAGGCCGCCGAAAAUACUGUGCAGCUAGGGAGUGGGAGAGGUACACGGUACUCGAUAGGAAGGGGUAAAAUCCUUUGAUCUAUUGAUGACCACCUGUGGCGAAGGCGGUGUACCAGAACACGUUCGACGGUGAGGGAUGAAAGCUGGGGGAGCAAACCGG